GCCUUCGUGGUGUAGGGUCAGCACACUGGACGCGUAACCGAGAGGUCCGUGGUUCGAUUCCCGACGAAGGCG
rnacentral:tRNA from 1 species